GCCAGAGUGGCGGAACUGGUAUACGCGCGCGACUCAAAAUCGCGUUCCCGCAAGGGAUUAAGGGUUCGACUCCCUUCUCUGGCA
rnacentral:tRNA from 1 species